rnacentral:tRNA from 1 species
GAGAGUGUAGCUCAGUGGUAGAGUGCAUGCUUAGCAUGCAUGAGGCCCUGGGUUCAAUUCCCAGGACCUCCA